rnacentral:misc_RNA from 1 species
CUUCGGAUGGUGAUGAAGGUGAAGAGGAAGGGGAGCAGAUUGAUGUAGGCCCCCUACCAAGUUCUGGGACAAAAACCAAGCAAACAAAAAAGCAAAUUGCUCAAGCUUCCAUGUCUUCAUUUGUUGUAGCAGCUCCUAUAAAACCAAAUACACAGAAGGCAAGCAAAUCAGUGAGUGCCAUGCUUUGCAAGACUCCAGAGGAAGUUGUAGCAGAGAGACAUAAAAAUAGAACUUCUCAGACCACUCUUGAGCAUUGCACAAAGAAAGGAACAGAAGCAAAGCAAAUUGUUGACGACCAUGUAGCUGAUUUUCUAUAUGAGAACAAGAUUCCAUUGAAUGUCGUCAAUUCAAGAAGCUGGCAGAUUAUGAUGGAGUCCAUUGGUCAGUAUGGUCCUGGAUAUCGUGGCCCAUCAUACUAUGAGGCAAGGGUACCUUGGCUUGAAAGGGCAGUGAAGAGAACAUCAACAUUGAGAGCUAAGCAUGAAGAGGCUUGGAAGGAAUAUGGUUGCUCAAUUAUGUCAGAUGGGCGGACUGACAUACGACAACGGCAUUUGAUAAACUUCCUUGCCAACAGUCCAGCGGGGACCUACUUCUUAGGUUCUGUCGAUGCAUCAAGUGAGAUAGCAAAUGCCAAUAUGUUGGCAGAUCCAUUGGAGAAGCAAAUAAUUAAGGUGGGGAAAGAACAUGUGGUCCAGGUGAUCACUGACAAUGG